ACCUGCCAUGAGUAGUUAAAUGGCCGCGGUAUAUUGACCGUGCAAAGGUAGCAUAAUCAUUAGUUUUUUAAUUGAAAGCUGGAAUGAAUGGUUGGACGAGAAAAUAGCUGUCUCAAUUUAAUUUAAAAUAGAAUUUUAUUUAUAAGUAAAAAAGCUUAUAUAGAUUUAAAAGACGAGAAGACCCUAUAGAAUUUUAUAUAUUUGUAUAAAUAUUAUUUUUGGUAUUGUAUGUUAUAUUUAUAUACAUGUAUUUUUGUUGGGGCGAUAGAAAAAUUGAAUUAACUUUUUUUUUAUUAAUUCAUUAAUUUAUGAGUAAUUGAUCCAUUUUUUAUGAUUAUAAGAUUAAAUUACCUUAGGGAUAACAGCGUUAUUUUUUUUUAGAGUUCUAAUCGAAAAAAGAGUUUGCGACCUCGAUGUUGGAUUAAAAUUAACUUUUGGUGUAGGGGCUAAAUAGUUAGGUCUGUUCGACCUUUAAAAUUUUACA
rnacentral:rRNA from 1 species